AGAGUUUGAUCAUGGCUCAGGAUGAACGCUAGCUACAGGCUUAACACAUGCAAGUCGAGGGGCAGCACGGUGUAGCAAUACACUGGUGGCGACCGGCGCACGGGUGAGUAACACGUAUCCAACCUGCCGUCUACUCUUGGACAGCCUUCUGAAAGGAAGAUUAAUACAAGAUGGCAUCAUGAGUUCACAUGUUCACAUGAUUAAAGGUUUUCCGGUAGACGAUGGGGAUGCGUUCCAUUAGAUAGUAGGCGGGGUAACGGCCCACCUAGUCUUCGAUGGAUAGGGGUUCUGAGAGGAAGGUCCCCCACAUUGGAACUGAGACACGGUCCAAACUCCUACGGGAGGCAGCA
rnacentral:rRNA from 1 species